AAGUCGAGCGGACAGAAGGGAGCUUGCUCCCGGAUGUUAGCGGCGGACGGGUGAGUAACACGUGGGUAACCUGCCUGUAAGACUGGGAUAACUCCGGGAAACCGGAGCUAAUACCGGAUAGUUCCUUGAACCGCAUGGUUCAAGGAUGAAAGACGGUUUCGGCUGUCACUUACAGAUGGACCCGCGGCGCAUUAGCUAGUUGGUGGGGUAAUGGCUCACCAAGGCGACGAUGCGUAGCCGACCUGAGAGGGUGAUCGGCCACACUGGGACUGAGACACGGCCCAGACUCCUACGGGAGGCAGCAGUAGGGAAUCUUCCGCAAUGGACGAAAGUCUGACGGAGCAACGCCGCGUGAGUGAUGAAGGUUUUCGGAUCGUAAAGCUCUGUGUUAGGGAAGAACAAGUGCGAGAGUAACUGCUCGCACCUUGACGGUACCUAACCAGAAAGCCACGGCUAACUACGUGCCAGCAGCCGCGGUAAUACGUAGGUGGCAAGCGUUGUCCGGAAUUAUUGGGCGUAAAGGGCUCGCAGGCGGUUUCUUAAGUCUGAUGUGAAAGCCCCCGGCUCAACCGGGGAGGGUCAUUGGAAACUGGGAAACUUGAGUGCAGAAGAGGAGAGUGGAAUUCCACGUGUAGCGGUGAAAUGCGUAGAGAUGUGGAGGAACACCAGUGGCGAAGGCGACUCUCUGGUCUGUAACUGACGCUGAGGAGCGAAAGCGUGGGGAGCGAACAGGAUUAGAUACCCUGGUAGUCCACGCCGUAAACGAUGAGUGCUAAGUGUUAGGGGGUUUCCGCCCCCUUAGUGCUGCAGCUAACGCAUUAAGCACUCCGCCUGGGGAGUACGGUCGCAAGACUGAAACUCAAAGGAAUUGACGGGGGCCCGCACAAGCGGUGGA
rnacentral:rRNA from 1 species